rnacentral:rRNA from 1 species
AUUGAACGCUGGCGGCAGGCUUAACCCAUGCAAGUCGAGCGAGCUGCGGACGGGUGAGUAAUGUCUGGGAAACUGCCUGCUGGAGGGGGAUAACUACUGGAAACGGUAGCUAAUACCGCAUACCAUCAGAUGUGCCCAGAUGGGAUUAGCUAGUCGGUGGGGUAAUGGCUAACCUAGGCGACGAUACCUAGCUGGUCUGGGAGGAUGACCAGCCACACUGGAACGGAGGCACGGUCCAGUCCCUUACGGGAGGCAGCGGUGGGGAAUAUUGCACAAUGGGCGCAAGCCUGAUACAGUCAUGCCGCGUGUGUGAAGAAGGUCUGUGGGUUGUAAAGCACUUUUAGAGAGGAUGCGGUACUCGCAGAAGGAGCACCGGAUAACUCCGUGUCAGCAGCCGCGGUAAUAG